AGAGUUAAAGAGUACCUGAAAUUGUUGAAAGGGAAGCGAAGGAAACCAGUGCCGAAGCUUUGUCAUACUUCUCUUGCUACUUGUGGUAAGGGC
rnacentral:rRNA from 1 species